rnacentral:rRNA from 1 species
GACGAACGCUGGCGGCGUGCUUAACACAUGCAAGUCGAACGGAAAGGCCUGCUUUCCCUUGUGGAUUGCGGGUACUCGAGUGGCGAACGGGUGAGUAACACGUGAGUGAUCUGCCCCCAACUUGGGUAUAAGCCUGGGAAACUGGGUCUAAUUCCCGAUAGGACUGCAGGGUGGUGCCUGUGGUGGAAAACGAUUUUCUAGUGGUUGGGGAUGAGCUCGCGGCCUAUCAGCUUGUUGGUGGGGUAAUGGCCUACCAAGGCGGCGACGGGUAGCCGGCCUGGGAGGGUGGACGGCCACAUUGGGACUGAGAUACGGCCCAGACUUCUACGGGAGGCAGCAGUGGGGAAUAUUGCACAAUGGGCGGAAGCCUGAUGUAGCGACGCCGCGUGGGGGAUGACGGCCUUCGGGUUGUAAACUCCUUUCGACCGCGAGGAAGCCACCUGGUUGGAAGGGUGGUGACGGUAGUGGUAGAAGAAGCACCGGCUAACUACGUG